GUGCUCCUUUCGGCAGCACACAUACCUAAAACUGGAACGAUGCAGAGAAGAUUAGCACAGACCCUGGGCAAGGAUGUGACACACAAGUUUGUGAAUGUUCGAUAUUUUU
rnacentral:snRNA from 1 species